rnacentral:tRNA from 1 species
GGGCCCGUAGCUCAGCUGGGAGAGCGCCUGCAUGGCAUGCAGGAGGUCAUCGGUUCAAUCCCGUUCGGGUCCA